rnacentral:tRNA from 1 species
CCUGGUGGAGCAGUGGUUAAGCACUUGGCUGCUGACCAACAAGUUGGUGGUUCAAAUCCACCCGGCAGCU